rnacentral:rRNA from 1 species
AAUCUUCCGCAAUGGACGAAAGUCUGACGGAGCAACGCCGCGUGAGUGAUGAAGGUUUUCGGAUCGUAAAACUCUGUUGUUCGGGAAGAACAAGUAUCGGAGUCACUGCGGGUACCUUGACGGUACCUGACGUGUAAGCAACGGCGAACUACCUGCCAGCGGCCGCGGUAAUACGUAGGUGGCAAGCGUUGUCCGGAUUUAUUGGGGGUAAAGCGCGCGCAGGCGGUCUUUUAAUUCUGAUGUGAAAUCUUACAGCUUAACUGUAAGCGGUCAUUGGAAACUGGUAGACUUGAGUGCAGAUGAGGAGAGUGGAAUUCCUUGUGUAGCGGUGAAAUGCGUAGAGAUAUGGAGGAACACCAGUGGCGAAGGCGACUCUCUGGUCUGUAACUGACGCUGAGGCGCGAAAGCGUGGGUAUCAAACA